rnacentral:rRNA from 1 species
GACCCCGGUUUACCACCGGGAUGUUCAUAACCCUUUGUUGUCCGACUCUGUUGCCUCCGGGGCGACCCUGCCUUCGGGCGGGGGCUCCGGGUGGACACUUCAAACUCUUGCGUAACUUUGCAGUCUGAGUAAACUUAAUUAAUAAAUUAAAACUUUUAACAACGGAUCUCUUGGUUCUGGCAUCGAUGAAGAACGCAGCGAAAUGCGAUAAGUAAUGUGAAUUGCAGAAUUCAGUGAAUCAUCGAAUCUUUGAACGCACAUUGCGCCCCCUGGUAUUCCGGGGGGCAUGCCUGUUCGAGCGUCAUUUCACCACUCAAGCCUCGCUUGGUAUUGGGCAACGCGGUCCGCCGCGUGCCUCAAAUCGACCGGCUGGGUCUUCUGUCCCCUAAGCGUUGUGGAAACUAUUCGCUAAAGGGUGCUCGGGAGGCUACGCCGUAAAACAACCCCAUUUCUAAGGUUGACCUCGGAUCAGGUAGGGAUACCCGCUGAACUUAAGCAUAUCAAUAAGCGGAGGA